ACGGCCCUGAAUCAAGGCCAGCAGUUGGCUGUAACUGCUGGUUUCAAACAGAGGCCAAAAUUAUAGCCUUUCAAUGGUCUGUUGCGUUUCCCCUGUGUUGAAAAGGGGAAAUCCAGUUCAGUUGGAAGGAACACUU